rnacentral:rRNA from 1 species
UACAGAGGUCUCAAGUGUUGUUCGGAUUCAUUGGGCGUAAAGGGUGCGUAGGCGGCGCGGUAAGUCGGGUGUGAAAUCUUGGAGCUUAACUCCGAAACUGCAUUCGAUACUGCCGUGCUUGAGGACUGGAGAGGAGACUGGAAUUUACGGUGUAGCGGUGAAAUGCGUAGAUAUCGUAAGGAAGACCAGUGGCGAAGGCGGGUCUCUGGACAGUUCCUGACGCUGAGGCACGAAGGUCAGGGGAGCAAACGGG